UUGAGAACAUCUAUUUAUCCAGGUUAGUGUCAUUGAGAACAUCUAUUUAUCCAGGUUAGUGUCAAUGAGAUAAUGUUUAUUUAUCCAGGUUAGUGUCAUUGAGAACAUCUAUUUAUCCAGGUUAGUGUCAUUGAGAACAUCUAUUUAUCCAGGUUAGUGUCAUUGAGAACAUCUAUUUAUCCAGGUUAGUGUCAUUGAGAACAUUUAUUUCUCCAGGUUAGUGUCAUUGAGAACAUAUAUUUAUCCAGGUUAGUGUCAUUGAGAACAUCUAUUUAUCCAGGUUAGUGUCAUUGGGAACAUCUAUUUAUCCAGGUUAGUGUCAUUGAGAACAUCUAUUUAUCCAGGUUAGUGUCAUUGAGAACAUCUAUUUAUCCAGGUUAGUGUCAUUGAGAACAUCUAUUUAUCCAGGUUAGUGUCAUUGGGAUAACAUAUAUUUAUCAAGAGAGGCCUGGUCCAAUCAAGACGGCAGC